GUUCGAAUUAUAAUAACAACAAUUUAUGCUUGAAUAGUUGAAUAUUAAUUGAACUCUCUCUCUCUUCUCUCACACCUAUCUUUCAGAGAGAGAGGCGAUCUCCGGUUUCAUCCCAAAAUUGGAAUUUUCUUCGACUUAGUCCAAUUUUUUUGUUGUAAAUAUUCCGACUAUGAUUGGAUUACUCUUCUGAGUUCAUCGAACCAUAAAUUUCCGACCUGUAUCAUCUUCUCUCGGCUGGGAGUUUAGAUCUCCCCAGGUCUCCUAUCAUGAGCCUUGCAAGGCAAAAGGUGACAGGUCUUGAGUUCUGAUGAUCGGUGAUGGUGAUGGAUCUAUAUAGAAGUAGAAUUUCUGAUUAAAGAUUUCACAAAAUUUAAUCGGAGGAGAAAGUAAAGGUGAAGAAGCGUCAGGUUUGAGCAGUAUCGUGACGAUCAGUAUGAUCGAUGGUGGAUGCGAAUGGUGGUGGAUCUCGCCGGCGAAGAUGAACGGCGCUGCAACGCAAUUUUCUUAUCCUCACAUCUGUAUUCUAAUUCGUGUAUAGUUACACGUGUUAUAACACGUGUUAGGAGAUUAUAAAAGAUUUUCAUUAGGUUUAUUUUUAUUUUUGUAUUGGGCCUUUUAUUUUGUUUGCGUUAUAAUACUUUUAUUUUUAUGGG